rnacentral:rRNA from 1 species
UACAGAGGGUGCGAGCGUUAAUCGGAAUUACUGGGCGUAAAGCGCGCGUAGGCGGCUUUGCAAGUCGAGUGUGAAAUCCCCAGGCUUAACCUGGGAACUGCAUUCGAGACUGCAUAGCUAGAGUAUGGGAGAGGGAAGUGGAAUUUCAGGUGUAGCGGUGAAAUGCGUAGAUAUCUGAAGGAACAUCAGUGGCGAAAGCGACUUCCUGGACCAAUACUGACGCUCAUGUGCGAAAGCGUGGGGAGCAAACGGG